rnacentral:rRNA from 1 species
ACACACGGGAUUGCCUUAGUAACGGCGAGUGAAGCGGCAAAAGCUCAAAUUUGAAAUCUAGUACCUUCGGUGCUCGAGUUGUAAUUUGUAGAGGGAUACUUUGGGGCCGUUCCUUGUCUAUGUUCCUUGGAACAGGACGUCAUAGAGGGUGAGAAUCCCGUGUGGCGAGGAGUGCGGUUCUAUGUAAAGUGCCUUCGAAGAGUCGAGUUGUUUGGGAAUGCAGCUCUAAGUGGGUGGUAAAUUCCAUCUAAAGCUAAAUAUUGGCGAGAGACCGAUAGCGAACAAGUACAGUGAUGGAAAGAUGAAAAGAACUUUGAAAAGAGAGUGAAAAAGUACGUGAAAUUGUUGAAAGGGAAGGGCGUUUGAUCAGACAUGGUGUUUUGCGCCCCCCGCUCCUUGUGGGUGGGGGAGAACCCCCGCAAAAUGCUGGGGCCCGGCAUUUUUGGUGGGCCGAGCCCCCCGGAAGACCGUAUCUUACCUCGGGUAGGGUACAACCGGGAGGAAUUCCGGCUUGCGGGUUUUGGAUUCCAACUUUUGUAAGGAGGUUGCCAGGGGGGUUUCU